rnacentral:rRNA from 1 species
CGAGAAAGCCCGCAAGGGUGAGUAAAGCGGCGCACGGGUGCGUAACACGUGGGUAAUCUGCCCUAGAGUCUGGAAUAACUCGCCGAAAGGCGUGCUAAUGCCGGAUGAGACCACGGGAGCCUCGGCUCCUGCGGGAAAAGAUGGCCUCUGUACACAAGCUAUCGCUCUGGGAUGAGCCCGCGGCCCAUCAGCUAGUUGGCGGGGUAACGGCCCACCAAGGCAACGACGGGUAGCUGGUCUGAGAGGACGAUCAGCCACACUGGAACUGAGACACGGUCCAGACUCCUACGGGAGGCAGCAGUGGGGAAUCUUGCGCAAUGGGCGAAAGCCUGACGCAGCAACGCCGCGUGUGUGAUGAAGGUCUUCGGAUCAUAAAGCACUGUCGCGAGGGACG